rnacentral:rRNA from 1 species
GAUGAACGCUGGCGGCGUGCCUAAUACAUGCAAGUCGAGCGCACGGACGAGAAGCUUGCUUCUCUGAUGUUAGCGGCGGACGGGUGAGUAACACGUGGAUAACCUACCUAUAAGACUGGGAUAACUUCGGGAAACCGGAGCUAAUACCGGAUAAAAUUUUGAACCGCAUGGUUCAAAAGUGAAAGACGGUCUUGCUGUCACUUAUAGAUGGAUCCGCGCUGCAUUAGCUAGUUGGUAAGGUAACGGCUUACCAAGGCAACGAUGCAUAGCCGACCUGAGAGGGUGAUCGGCCACACUGGAACUGAGACACGGUCCAGACUCCUACGGGAGGCAGCAGUAGGGAAUCUUCCGCAGUGGGCGGAAGCCUGACGGAGCAACGCCGCGUGAGUGAUGAAGGUCUUCGGAUCGUAAAGCUCUGUUAUUAGGGAAGAACAUAUGUGUAAGUAACUGUGCACAUCUUGACGGUACCUAAUCAGAAAGCCACGGCUAACUACGUG